rnacentral:rRNA from 1 species
UGAAUACGAGACGCUAAGGCGUCGAAGUAGUGUAUGUCAUACUUCCAAGAAAAGCUUGCACUGUCAUAGAUAAAAAACGCCUGUACCAUAACCGACACAGGUGGGUAGGUAGAGUAUACUAAGGGGCGCGAGAUAACUCUCUCUAAGGAACUCGGCAAAAUAACUCCGUAACUUCGGGAGAAGGAGUGCCUUAUUCGUAAGGUUGCAAUAACAAGAUCCAAGCAACUGUUUAUCAAAAACACAGGUCUCCGCUAAGUCGUAAGACGAUGUAUGGGGGCUGACGCCUGCCCAGCGCCAGAAGGUUAAAGAAGUUGGUUAGCAAUUGCGAAGCUGAUAACUGAAGCCCUGGUGAACGGCGGCCGUAACAAUAACGGUCCUAAGGUAGCGAAAUUCCUUGUCGGGUAAGUUCCGACCCGCACGAAAGGCGUAAUGAUUUGGAUACUGUCUCGGAGAGGGGCUCGGUGAAAUAGACUUGUCUGUGAAGAUGCGGACUACCUGCACCAGGACAGAAAGACCCUAUGAAGCUUUACUGUAACUUGAAAUUGAAAUUGGACUUUAUUCGCGCAGUAUAGGUGGGAGGCGUUGAUUAUAAUCUUGUGGGAUUAUUGGAGCCAUCAGUGAGAUACCACUCUUGUAAUGUUAGAUUUCUAACUUUGAAUCAUUAUCUGGUCAAAGAACAGUUACAGGCGGGCAGUUUGACUGGGGCGGUCGCCUCCUAAACGGUAACGGAGGCGUACAAAGGUUUCCUCUGAACGGUUAGAAAUCGUAUCUAGAGUGUAAAGGCAUAAGGAAGCUUGACUGUGAGACCUACAAGUCGAGCAGGGACGAAAGUCGGUCUUAGUGAUCUGACGGUACUGAGUGGAAAGGCCGUCACUCAACGGAUAAAAGUUACUCUAGGAUAACAGGCUGAUCUCCCCCAAGAGUUCACAUCGACGGGGAGGUUUGGCACCUCGAUGUCGGCUCAUCGCACCCUGGGGCGGUAGUACGUCCCAAGGGUUGGGCUGUUCGCCCAUGAAAGCGGUACGCGAGCUGGGUUCAGAACGUCGUGAGACAGUUCGGUCCAUAUCCGGUGUAGGCGUUAGAAUAUUGAGAGGAGCCUUCUUUAGUACGAGAGGACCGAGAAGGACAUACCUCUGGUGUACCAGUUAUCGUGCCAACGGUAAACGCUGGGUAGCUAUGUAUGGCGUGGAUAACCGCUGAAAGCAUCUAAGUGGGAAGCCCACCUCAAGAUAAGUAUUC